rnacentral:lncRNA from 1 species
UUCCUGCUCUUUUCACUUUUUUGGGGCCUUUUCAUCCCAAUUUUUGGUCAUUUUUUGCCUUUUUUUUUUUUUUUGACAUUUUUGUCCCUUUUUUGGACUUUUCUGGCCUUUUUUGGUCAUUUUUCUCACUUUUUGGGGGGGAAAUAUUUCUCAAUUUUUUGGAUCAUUUCUCUCACUUUUUCUGGGACGUUUUUCUCACUUUUUUUUUCUUAACUUUGUCACUUCUUUCCCAACAUUUUUCUCACUUUUUUGGGCCACUUUUCUCACUUUUUUGGGCCACUUUCCUCACUUUUUUGGGCCACUUUCCUCACUUUUCUUGGACCUUUCCGUCCCUUUUUUGGGGGUCAUUUUCCUCACUUUUUCGGCUCAUUUUUCUCACUUUUUUUCUCACUUUUUUCCUUCUUUUGCGCGCUUUUCUCACUUUUUUUCUUAUACCGCUUUUCUCACUUUUCACCACUUUUUUCACUUUUUUUUCCCCCUUUUCCCUACCUUUCCAAAAAAACCCACUUUUUUCCUUAUUUUUUUUGGCCUUUUUGCCCUUAUUUCUCCCUUUCCCACGCCGCCUCUCAGCAAUGUCAGCCUUACCAUCCCAUUUUGGGGCAGAACCGUGUGCUUUGCUCACUGGGACAAAACCCAUCGCCCCGGCUCUCAAUACUUGCUGUUUUUUUGGGGGCAAAACUGGGGCUUUUCGGGCUUUUCGGCCACUUUCGGCGCCAGCUCCUCACCUGAAGGGACCACAGGGUUCGAUUUGGGGCGAAAAAGGGGGGAAAAAGGUCAAGGUUUCGUUACCGCAUCGUCUGGGCUCGUCCCCAAUCACCUCCCCCCCCCCCCCUUCCAAAGCGGGAUCAUCGCCUGCAGCUCGUUAAGGAAAAAAAGCAAUUAACCGUCAUCAAGCCUGAAGAAGGUGAUUCGGGAGGAAAAAUAAUAAUAAUAAUAAUAAAAAAAAAAAAGUGGAAAAAUGCUGUGGGUUU